rnacentral:rRNA from 1 species
UACGUAGGGGGCAAGCGUUGUUCGGAGUUACUGGGCGUAAAGGGUGCGUAGGCGGUUGUUUAAGUUUGGUGUGAAAUCUCCCGGCUCAACUGGGAGGGUGCGCCGAAUACUGAAUGACUAGAGUGCGGGAGAGGAGAGUGGAAUUCCUGGUGUAGCGGUGAAAUGCGUAGAUAUCAGGAGGAACACCGGUGGUGUAGACGGCUCUCUGGACCGUAACUGACGCUGAGACGCGAAAGCGUGGGGAGCAAACAGG